rnacentral:rRNA from 1 species
UAAUACGGAGGGUGCGAGCGUUAAUCGGAAUUACUGGGCGUAAAGCGCAUGCAGGUGGUUUGUUAAGUCAGAUGUGAAAGCCCGGGGCUCAACCUCGGAAUAGCAUUUGAAACUGGCAGACUAGAGUACUGUAGAGGGGGGUAGAAUUUCAGGUGUAGCGGUGAAAUGCGUAGAGAUCUGAAGGGAUACCGGUGGCGAAGGCGGCCCCCUGGACAGAUACUGACACUCAGAUGCGAAAGCGUGGGGAGCAAACAGGAUUAGAUACCCUGGUAGUCCACGCCGUAAACGAUGUCUACUUGGAGGUUGUGGCCUUGAGCCGUGGCUUUCGGAGCUAACGCGUUAAGUAGACCGCCUGGGGAGUACGGUCGCAAGAUUAAAACUCAAAUGAAUUGACGGGGGCCCGCACAAGCGGUGGAGCAUGUGGUUUAAUUCGAUGCAACGCGAAGAACCUUACCUACUCUUGACAUCCAGAGAACUUUCCAGAGAUGGAUUGGUGCCUUCGGGAACUCUGAGACAGGUGCUGCAUGGCUGUCGUCAGCUCGUGUUGUGAAAUGUUGGGUUAAGUCCCGCAACGAGCGCAACCCUUAUCCUUGUUUGCCAGCGAGUAAUGUCGGGAACUCCAGGGAGACUGCCGGUGAUAAACCGGAGGAAGGUGGGGACGACGUCAAGUCAUCAUGGCCCUUACGAGUAGGGCUACACACGUGCUACAAUGGCGCAUACAGAGGGCGGCCAACUUGCGAGAGUGAGCGAAUCCCAAAAAGUGCGUCGUAGUCCGGAUCGGAGUCUGCAACUCGACUCCGUGAAGUCGGAAUCGCUAGUAAUCGUGGAUCAGAAUGCCACGGUGAAUACGUUCCCGGGCCUUGUACACACCGCCCGUCACACCAUGGGAGUGGGCUGCAAAAGAAGUAGGUAGUUUAACCUUCGGGAGGACGCUUACCACUUUGUGGUUCAUGANCUGGGGUGAAGUCGUA